rnacentral:rRNA from 1 species
GACGAACGCUGGCGGCGUGCUUAACGCAUGCAAGUCGAACGGAAAGGCCCUGCUUUUGUGGGGUGCUCGAGUGGCGAACGGGUUAGUAACACGUGAGUAACCUGCCCUUGACUUUGGGAUAACUUCAGGAAACUGGGGCUAAUACCGGAUAGGAGCUCCUGCUGCAUGGUGGGGGUUGGAAAGUUUCGGCGGUUGGGGAUGGACUCGCGGCUUAUCAGCUUGUUGGUGGGGUAGUGGCUUACCAAGGCUUUGACGGGUAGCCGGCCUGAGAGGGUGACCGGCCACAUUGGGACUGAGAUACGGCCCAGACUCCUACGGGAGGCAGCAGUGGGGAAUAUUGCACAAUGGGCGGAAGCCUGAUGCAGCAACGCCGCGUGCGGGAUGACGGCCUUCGGGUUGUAAACCGCUUUCGCCUGUGACGAAGCGUGAGUGACGGUAAUGGGUAAAGAAGCACCGGCUAACUACGUG